CUCAGCCUUAACACCGGCAGAGGUUUGGGGUUGUUUGCUUCCACAGAAGAAGAAGGCAAUGGCAACCCACUCCAGAAGAAGGAGAAGGCAAUGGCACCCCACUCCAGUACUCUUGCCUGGAAAAUCCCAUGGACGGAGGAGCCUGGUAGGCUGCAGUCCAUGGGGUCGCUAGGAGUCAGACACGACUGAGCGACUUCACUUUCACUUUUCACUUUCAUGCAUUGGAGAAGGAAAUGGCAACCCACUCCAGCGUUCUUGCCUGGAGAAUCCCAGGGGCGCCGGAGCCUGGUGGGCUGCCGUCUACGGGGUCACACAGAGUCGGACACUACUGAAGCGACUUAGCAGCAGCAGCAGCUUCCACAGAAGGAUUCAGGAGGAGCCAAGAUCCCAGGAAAGGAACCCACCCAAAGCUGAGGUACCACAGCAGCAGACCUGGCACUGACCUGGCCUGUCCUGCCUGGUGGGACCAGAAGCAGCCAGCUACCUGUCCUGGGAUCUCCAUGCACCCAGGCGAGGCCCACCUUGGGACAGUAAGAACAAAUAGUGACAUUGCACAGCUGUUGGGAACUCUGUCCACGGACUGUUUGCUCCAGUACUGGGGCCACGGACUGCCUACUCAGGAAGAGGACGUGAUUCUAUAUAACAAACCCACUGAAUAUCUGUUUUGUACCAGGCUGCCGGCCUUUGAAGAUACAAAGGUAAAUAAGACAUGAGCCCUGUAGCCGGCUGGAGAGGGGAGGGAGAGCCGUCUUCCCUGAAGACGUGCUGUUCUUUCAGGCUUUUGUUGCGUCUACACUGUCUCUAGUUGCCAUUAAGGCUGUUUCUGCCACCUUUUCCCCCACUUUUUCUUCCUCAAUGAAUCUUGCUCUUUUCCUUUCCUUAAAGUUUCUCAGGUUCAGUAAUCUUCUUAGAAACCAGCUUUGGAAUUUUUCCAUUAUUGUUAGCCUCUAGGCUAUUAAUUUUUGCUUUUAUUUUUAUGUUUCUACUUUCUCUGUUCUCUUGAUUUUUAAAAUUGAAUAUGUAUCUCACUAACGUCCAGUCUUACAUUAUUAUCAGGAUAUUUUAAGUUAUAUAUUUUCCAACAGAGAGGUUUCACUGCAUCCACAAGUUUUCACAUGUGUUAAUUAUUAGCUAUUAUUUUCCUAACCAUAAAUUAUUUUUCUUCAGCCUAUAAAUUAUUUCAGAGAGCAUUUUAAGUUUGCCAAAUAAAGAUUUUGUUUAUCUUUUUGAAAUUGAAGUU
rnacentral:lncRNA from 1 species